rnacentral:rRNA from 1 species
GAUAAACGCUGGCGGCGUGCAUGAGACAUGCAAGUCGAACGGACGAUCAGGGCUUGCUCUGAUCGUUAGUGGCGGACGGCUGAGUAACGCGUGGGUGACCUACCCCGAAGUGGGGAAUAACUGCCCGAAAGGGUGGCUAAUACCGCAUACGAUCGGUAAUUCGCUUUACCGAUCAAAGCAGUGAUGCGCUUUGGGAGGGGCCUGCGUCCGAUUAGGUCGUUGGUGGGGUAAUGGCUCACCAAGGCGACGAUCGGGAGGUGGUCUGAGAGGACGAUCACCCGGACUGGGACUGAGACACGGCCCAGACUCCUACGGGAGGCAGCAGUCGGGAAUUUUGCUCAAUGGGCGAAAGCCUGAAGCAGCAACGCCGCGUGAGGGAUGAAGGCCUUCGGGUUGUAAACCUCUUUUCUCAGGGACGAUUAUGACGGUACCUGAGGAAUAAGCCACGGCUAACUACGUGCCAGCCGCCGCAGUAAGAC